rnacentral:rRNA from 1 species
GCAAUCUACCUUGUACAGGGGGAUAGCCCAGAGAAAUUUGGAUUAAUACCCCAUAGUGUAACGAAAAGGCAUCUUUUUGUUACUAAAGUUCCAACGGUACAAGAUGAGCAUGCGUCCCAUUAGCUAGAUGGUAAGGUAACGGCUUACCAUGGCAACGAUGGGUAGGGGUCCUGAGAGGGAGAUCC